GGAAGCGUGGCAGAGCGGUUGAAUGCACCAGUCUUGAAAACUGGCGAGGAUGCAAGUCCUCCGUGAGUUCGAAUCUCACCGCUUCCGCCA
rnacentral:tRNA from 1 species